CACCUCUCAGGGUCACGCCCGGAGAGUUUCCAGUCCUCUACCAGUCUCGACUACGGGAGGGAGAGUCAAGCAGAGGCCAACCCAUUCCAUUCCUAGUUUGGCCAGGGGCUAGCCAGUGGAAGGCAGUCUGCCACAAGU
rfam:Ornithorhynchus anatinus chromosome 5, whole genome shotgun sequence.